AUCAUUGUUUCUAAGAACAGUUUAGAGCUUUAGCUUUUUUUUCUUUUGAGUAAAGGUAGAUUUAUUUAGAGAGAUACAUACUACAUAGAGUUUAAGGCAAGACAAUGACCAUGAGGUGUGGGGGUUGGGCACUCAGUUUAAAGUAAAAGUAGGUACACACUCCAAAGACAGUGUGGGCUGUCUCCGGAGAUGAGGGAGCAAGAGAGGCCUAGAGCCUUAGCUUUUUAAACUCACAUAGUUAUCAAAGGAAUAAGUACUCUCCUGGUUGGAACCAAACACAAAUCAAACUGGCUUGGGCAUACAACUGAGCAGUCUGGGCUUCAGGCACAGCUGUCUCCAGGGGUUCAAAAAAAUGUUGCCCCUGCUGGUCUGUGCUCCCCUCUGAGGCCAGACAGGCUCUUACCACAGGGUAGGUGAGGAUGCUAGCAGCAGCCCCGGAUCUACACGCUCUCCUUGUAGCACUCUCAGCAGAGAAAGGCACUCUUCUUUCCCAGCAUUUGUGACUUGGAGAGUGACAUGAGCCUACCAAGAUCACAUGGAAUGGGAAGGACAGGUUUCCACUAGAAAAAAGGAGGGGUAUUGGGUAGAGUGAGGCUCAGAGUCUAGCCUGUUCCCACUUCACAAAGAAGAAGGAAUGUUCUCAGCCACCUGCACCUGUGUGGGGAUGCACACCUGCAAGAGGACUGGAGAGAGGGGUGUGGGUGGGGAGUGGGGUGGCAAGUGAAAGCAUCGCCUUGCCCUGUUGACCAUCAAUGUCAUAAGGGAUAGUGGUCUGUAGCUUUCUUGUGUGGUGGCCCAAAUUCAGAAUUAAACAUCUGCUAAGUGAUUUGCCUUUUGUGAGAGUGUUGAACUCAACUACUCCCAUCUUUUAUUCAGAUAAUUUGAGUGAAAAAUAGGCAUACACUUUUCCAAAGAUUGGGAAGAGAAAAGUGAGCAGAACUUGGCUGAAAAUAGCAUAACUGUUCCAUGGUAGCUGGCCUUCAUCCUUCAGUCCUUCUCUCCAGAGCAGGCACAGGGUUUAAUCAAGUGGAACCUCUUUAACAUCAGACAAUGGGCAACAGCAAAGAGGCGUCCUUAUUGGGUGCAGGGGAGAAGGGAAAGGUCAUGGGGUCCCCGAGUGAGCCUGGCUCUCUGUUUUUUCCUAGACUGAACAUUUCCUGUGGGAGGCUUGAGGCUGUCAGGGGCAUGGCCCAGCCAAGAAGGGGGAUAAGGCACUGUGGCAUGCAGAGGGACAGUUGACUUUCCUGGGGUUUUGUUGCUGUAAUGGGCUGACUAGUGGCCCCAAAGAUAUGCCCACAUCCUAAUUCCUGGGAAUCUGUGAAGUUUAGCUUAUAUGUAGGCAAAAGAGUGACUAUCACCUUAUAUGGGAAAGAUGUGAUUAAGUUAAAGAUCCUAAGAGAUGCUUAUCCUGGAUUAUCAGUGGGCCAUAAAUGCGGUCACACAUAUCCUCAUAAGAGAGAGGCAGAGGGAGAUUAAACACAGACACACAGAAGAGAGGGGCCGGGAAGACACAGGCAGACAGGAGAGAUGCAGCCCCAAGCCAAGGGAUGCCCGCAGCCACCCAAAGCUAGAAGAGGCCAGGAACAGAUUCUGCCCUAGAGUGUCUACUCUGGAGAGAGUGCAGUCCUGCCAGCACCACGACUUUGGACAUUUGGCCCCCAGAACUGUGAGAGUAAAUUUCCAUCACUUAAAGCCACCAUGGUUGGGUAGUUUGUUACAGCAGCCCCAGAAAACUAAAUGGAGUGUUUGUUUUCUGUCACUUCAAUAUAAUGUGGCUUAUAACGUGGUGUUAAGUCUUGCCAGAUACCUCAAAGCUGAGUCCAGCUUGGCCCCCACGACCAGGAGGGGGUCCUGCCGGGUAAUCAGCUUGCUGUCACUCUCACCUGCACCAUAGGAAACUGCGGCCCUGGCCCUGGCCUCAUCCCUGUGACUGGGUCUCUGUUGGCUGAUGUCAGCACUGAGCCUCUAGCUGGCAGGUGGCGGGGGGUGGGGGCAGGCAGAACAGCAGGUGCUGGAAGCAUUUCUGGAUUUAUGGGUGGAAACUUCACGGCUCAUGAACAUCCGCUCUAGCUUGGAGCCUGUUGUCUCAGGUGCAAGGUUGACAGCUGCCCGCUGCCUGCCUGCUUCCCCCACCCUCCCCAACAGAGUCAGGUGGGGCCAAACUCACAGAACUGGCUUAUCUUUACAGGAAAUGUGGACACGGGUGGGUGAAAUUUCCAGAGAGCCAGGAGGGGUCCCCAGCUGGAUAGCAACUUGCCAGUGAGCCAGGCACGCACGUGAAAGGAGGCAGAGACACGGCCCGGGAAGGCCUGGGUGAAGGAUGUUUUGGGAAACCGUUGUGCCAGGGACACAUCACUCCACACCCGAAGGAGCCUCCAGUCCAAGGCAGAAGACCCAAGGGAAAAUUAAGAUGAAUACACACACAAGAAAAUAAAAUACACGCAAAACUUUAGAACCUGAGUCGCAAAGGGACUGGGAUUUAAGCAAAUGAGGAAGGGCCCCCAGGGUAUGCAGACGGGGCCAGGGCCGAGCCCCAGCACUCCAUGCAACACACUUCAUACAAUCAUCGGGGUCAUCUGGUCUAGUGCCUUCCUUGUGUUCUGGACACAGGAUGGAGGAGAAUUCUUGCCAGGCAGGUCACACAGCUAGUAACAGGGCCUCAGGGCGUGUGUCUGUCUUUACAGACGCAACCCACACAAGUGUGUGGGGUUGAGGACUCAGAUGCCAGAAAUGACGUUGUGAUUGGUGACAGAAUUUUCCAAAAUGAUGACCGGCUCUUGGUACAGUUUUGAAAAGAGCAAAGUCCACUAUUCCUUUUAUUUACACAGUAAAAUAAUUGCAUUUCCAGAAAAUUUUGUGUUUACAACAGGGUUGGGUUCUACACUAAAAUAAUUAGAAACAGAUUUUUUUCAUCUAUACAAAUAUACAGCAAGAUAUUUGAAAAUUGAGUGGGACAUGGGUCAAUUCCUUGCUGGGCAGGAUAGUCCUGCAUGUCACAGGAUGGCCACGUUCAGGCCCAGUCACUAAAUCACAGCAUUGCCACCCUUUGAAUGCAGUUAUCAAAUUGCCCCACCUCUUCCCACGGUGUCCCCUAGGGGGCAGUCCUGUGCCAGUUGAGAACCGUUGCCCUGCGGGAUCUGGCUGGCCCCAGCUCCUCCCAAUGCUGUCCUUCCCAUUUUUCUCCAGCAACCUCCCCGACAACCCCAGCACUUUCUACCCCAAGCUGAUUUUUACCUUUCUUCACAGGACUCAUCACCUGGCAUUGUCUUGAUUAUGUCUCCCCCACUAGAUGGUAGUAGACUCCAUGUGAACGGGGAUUUUUGUCUGUCUUGGUCUCUGUGAAGUCCCUGGUCCCUAUGCAGCGCCUGGCCAUCAGACAGGGGCAAGGCAGGUCGAGGGUCAGUGACAGCAGAGGGUCCUGGUUCUUUUCUGGACACAGAUCUCAGGUUGACUUUAUUUUUUCCCUAACUUAGCCACAUGCCUCUCCCUCAAGAUGAUGGCCUUGAGGUUAAGAGGCUCAAGCAGGAAGACCACACCCUCUGAUUCUCACCAUGGGGCUGUCACUAAGUCUCACUGGGCCUUCUUUGCUUAUGAGCUCCUCUUACUGUUUGGAGACUAGAAGCAAGACUAGUUGGCUCUUCUAACACCACAUGACCCUGGAUUUCAGGACCCUCCACACCUUUCACUUCUUGUUACCUGGCUAAUUCUGGAACUCAGCUCCAUCUUUUGAUGCCUUGCCAAAAGCAGCCAAUAACAAUCAGCAGGCCUUUUGCAUUCUGCACCAGGGCGCUGAAAUGCACUGUUCUGACCCUGUUCUGAGGUCCUGCAGGGGCCGUGUAAAGUGGGGCAGACACGCAGACAAGGCUCGGUAUAGUCCUUGAACCUAAAGACUCAGGAUGAGACCGGCCAUCCCUGGCCACCCGCAGCACCAAGAGGCCGACAGGGAGACUCAUGGCGCACUUGCGGAGCCAAUGCCAGCAACUGCCCGCCUUUUCACGUGUGCACCGAUGUGAUUCCUGCUCUCAGAGUUCUCCAAUUGGUCCCGGAUGCAUUUGAACACAUGGCCACAAUGGGGAUGCCUUUCUCAGCUUUGUUAUCACCAUAUCAGGGCCUAACGGGAGGACGUCUCUGAACCUGGAUUUCCAGUAUAUGGCACAAAAAUAUGGUAGGUGAAACUCAGACACCGUUACGUUUAAUAAAAAUACAUUAAGAUAUUUUUCUGUUUUAUGUACACCCCGAAUGUCUGAACAUUCGGACACUACUGUAUAGUUAUGUACAAGUGCAAUAUCAAUGUUUUCAUGACUAUUUGAAUUUAUAUACAGGCUCUCCGGUGACACGCAGGCGUUUCUCUGGAGCUCCAGAUGACUUCCUCUUGGUAACUGGCUCUAAGCUGGGUGUCUCUUUCUCUUGCUCUUCCCUUCUUCUGGCCUGAGCCUGGAGGAAACUGUUAGCUACUGGCUGCAAAGGAGAAGCAGGUGGAGUCAGCUGUUUCUCCCCUGCUGGAGCAGAAUUAAACUUCACUUGCUCCUUCCUUUCUUUUAAAAAAUAAACAUUAUCUUUUAGAAAAAAAAAAAAAAAGUAACCAGGUGGCUGUGGGACACACUGCAUGUUAUUUCAAGGCAUGGGACUACCACGGGGAAGAGGCUUCUUUGUCAAGGAAACACCGGUUCUUUGAACAAACAAGGACUUCCCCUGGCGGAGGGUGCUUGCCAGUGGCCUCGUGGUAAUUACAGGGGUGAAAGGCCAGUCUAUGGCAGGCUCUCUGUGGGUGCUGCGAUCUUGUGAUCUGGGGGAGGGAUGUGGGGACCUCGUAAGAGGAGGGGUCUUUUCUAGAACCGUCUGCUCUUUAACAGUGAUGUAAAAAAGCAGCAUUUUGAGAGGCGAGGCUCAAAGUCGAGGUGUUUUGUGCAUCAGACAGUGUUUUAUGGUUCGACAUCCUUGAAAACAUCUUUCCAGGCAAUUCUUCAUGGGAGUGGGGGUAGUGAUGGGCAAGAGAUAAUACUCCCUCUCUAGGCACUGCAUAUAAAGGUGAAAUGCCAUAGUUUUUGCUCUUUUCAGUGUUAAUUUCUCUGAAUUCACAAACUUGAGCAUUGCUGUCUAAAGGUCCAUCCCACCAGGGUGAUGCCAGAGAACCCUGGGUCUUGAAGCAGAAGAGAGAUCUUGGGAGGCUGCUGCAUAAAGCCAGAGUACAGAGCACCAUGGACGGGGACAACACGAUGUUCAGGCAGUGCCCUGGAGAACAGCAGGGACAGCCCUACCCCACGUACAUUUGGUCACUUUCCAUUUGGCAUAGUUUUCCUUCUUUGUCCAUUUUCCCCAUGUGCUUUUCAUCCUUAUCAGCGUUCACUGUCCUC